GCAGGGAAGCUGAACCUUCAGAUCAGUUGGCAGUUCCUUCCACUGUUCCGGAUGUUGGGGAUAAUAAAAAGUCAAAAAAGAAAAAGAAGGGAAAGGAAAAAGAAACCUCCACUGAACUAGAUAAUGCUGCACAAGAUGAGCCAAAAAUGAACACGGCCCAGGAUCUCUUGGAUCAGGAAAUGCAUGAUAAUAUUGACAAAGAAACAGUUGAUGCUGGCAAAAAAGACGGCGAAGACCAUGAAAAUAGUGCUACUGAAACAAAUUUGGCAACUGACAAUGCUGUUGCAGAUAGUCAGACUUACAGGUUACUCUUCUCAGUUCAAUAUCAUUGUUCAAAUACACGCUUGCUUCCCUCUUGGAGAUUGUAAAUUUUUAAUUGUUUGCCUUUGUUUACAAAUUAUGUUUGUACUGUAGCAGGGAAGCUGGACCUUCUGAUCACUUGGUUGAUCCUUGCACUGUUCCGGAUGUUGGAGAUAUUAAAAAGUCAAAAAAGAAAAAGAAGGGAAAGGAAAAAGAAACCAAGAGUUCUAGUAAUGGCGAUUCCACCGAACUAGAUAAUGCUGAGCAAGAUGAGCCAAAAAUGAACAUGGCCCAGGAUCUCUUGGAUCAGGAAAUAGUUGAUAAUGUUGACAAAGAAGCAGUUGAUGAUGGCAAAAAAGACGGUGAAGACCGUGAGAAUAUUACUAUUGAAACAAAAUUGAAAACUGACAAUGUUGUCGCAGAUAUUCAAACUCAUAGGUGACUCUUCUCAAUUCAAUACCAUUGUUCAAAUACACACUUGCUUUUCUCAGAUUUUAAGUCUUUCCUUUUAGAGAUACUGAAUAUUUAAUUGUUCUUGCCUUUGUUCAUAAAUUAUGUUUGUACUGAAGCAGGGAAGCUGAACCUUCAGACCAGUUGGCAGUUCCUUCCACUGUUCCGGAUGUUGGGGAUAUGAAAAAGUCAAAAAAGAAAAAGAAGGGAAAGGAAAAAGAAACCAAGAGUUCUAGUAAUGAACAUUCCACCGAUCUAGAUAAUGCUGCACAAGAUGAGCCAAAAAUGAACAUGGACGAGGAUCUUCUGACAGGAAAUGAACAGAACCAGCAGCAA
rnacentral:lncRNA from 1 species